UACGUAGGGGGCCAGCGUUGUCCGGAAUCAUUGGGCGUAAAGCGCGCGUAGGCGGCCAGAUAAGUCCGGUGUGAAAGUCCAGGGCUCAACCCUGGAAUGCCGGUGGAUACUGUCGGGCUCGAGUCCGGAAGAGGCGAGUGGAAUUCCUGGUGUAGCGGUGAAAUGCGCAGAUAUCAGGAGGAACACCGGUGGCGAAGGCGGCAUCCUGGACCGGUAUUGACGCUGAGGAGCGAAAGCCAGGGGAGCAAACGGG
rnacentral:rRNA from 1 species